GAGUUUGAUCCUGGCUCAGAUUGAACGCUGGCGGCAGGCCUAACACAUGCAAGUCGAGCGGUAGAGAGAAGCUUGCUUCUCUUGAGAGCGGCGGACGGGUGAGUAAUGCCUAGGAAUCUGCCUGGUAGUGGGGGAUAACGCUCGGAAACGGACGCUAAUACCGCAUACGUCCUACGGGAGAAAGCAGGGGACCUUCGGGUCUUGCGCUAUCAGAUGAGCCUAGGUCGGAUUAGCUAGUUGGUGAGGUAAUGGCUCACCAAGGCGACGAUCCGUAACUGGUCUGAGAGGAUGAUCAGUCACACUGGAACUGAGACACGGUCCAGACUCCUACGGGAGGCAGCAGUGGGGAAUAUUGGACAAUGGGCGAAAGCCUGAUCCAGCCAUGCCGCGUGUGUGAAGAAGGUCUUCGGAUUGUAAAGCACUUUAAGUUGGGAGGAAGGGCAGUAAAUUAAUAACUUUGCUGUUUUGACGUUACCGACAGAAUAAGCACCGGCUAACUCUGUGCCAGCCGCC
rnacentral:rRNA from 1 species